GAUGAACGUACAGGGCGUGUUUAACAUAUUUACCUCGAACGCAAAGCUCCAAGCUCCCUUGGGUACUCGAGUGUCGAACGGCUCUUUCACACAUGGGUUAUCUCCCCUGUACUUCGGCAUACGCCUGGGAAACUGGGUCUAAUACCGGCUCGUCCCACAUUCUGUCUGGUGUCUUGGACAGUUUUUCGGUGUUGUAUGAGCUCGCGGCCUAUCAGCUUGUUGGUGGGGUAAUGGCCUACCAAGGCGUCGACGGGUAGCCGGCCUGAGAGGGUGUACGGCCACAUUGGGACUGAGAUACGGCCCAGACUCCUACGGGAGGCAGCAGUGGGGAAUAUUGCACAAUGGGCGCAAGCAUGAUGCAGCGACGCCGCGUGGGGGAUGACGGCCUUCGGGUUGUAAACUCCUUUCGCUAGGGACGAAGCGCAAGUGACGGUACAUGGAGAAGAAGCACCGGCUAACUACGUG
rnacentral:rRNA from 1 species